CAAUUCUCCUGCCUGAGCCUCUGCCCAACAAAAUGGCGGCUGCGGCGGCGUCGCUUUGUUUCCGCGGCUCCUGCGGCGGUCGCAGUGGUAGCGGCCUUUGAGCAGUGGGGAGGAUCCAGCACCGGUGACAGUGACUACUAAGAUUCCAGGGCAUUUUUAUCGUAAUCUGGCGCAGGAACCGUAGUGGCGCCAAAGGACUACAGAAGCCGAGGCGGCGAUCAAGCGAAAACAUGACUGCUGAGCCNGAAAAGAGGGGGGCAGGGUGAAAAGAGGGGGGA
rnacentral:lncRNA from 1 species